rnacentral:rRNA from 1 species
GAUGAACGCUGGCGGCGUGCCUAAUACAUGCAAGUCGAGCGAACGGACGAGAAGCUUGCUUCUCUGAUGUUAGCGGCGGACGGGUGAGUAACACGUGGAUAACCUACCUAUAAGACUGGGAUAACUUCGGGAAACCGGAGCUAAUCCCGGAUGAUAUUUUGAACCGCAUGGUUCAAAAGUGAAAGACGUUCUUGCUGUCACUUAUAGAUGGAUCCGCGCUGCAUUAGCUAGUUGGUAAGGUAACGGCUUACCAAGGCAACGAUGCAUAGCCGACCUGAGAGGGUGAGCGGCCACACUGGAACUGAGACACGGUCCAGACUCCUACGGGAGGCAGCAGUAGGGAAUCUGCCGCAAUGGGCGAAAGCCUGACGGAGCAACGCCGCGUGAGUGAUGAAGGUCUGCGGAUCGUAAAACUCUGUUAUUAGGGAAGAACAUAUGUGUAAGUAACUGUGCACAUCUUGACGGUACCUAAUCAGAAAGCCACGGCUAACUACGUG